AUACAUUGAGGUUCAUUGCUCUGUUAUUUCUACUUGUGUAAGAUACUUAGCAUUUUCCAGAAUAAAGUAUUAAAAAUAAGUAAACUAUUUUGACCUAACUUUUGGAAUGAAGAGCGUGUUCUCUUCCCCUUCCACACGACAGCAGCACCUUGCUUUUUGCUGGGUAAGCUAUGAGAGAGAGUUGGCCAGUUUCCCAGUGUUUCUGACAGUUUCUGAAAUCACCUUGUUCAAGAAUGAGGUGAGGGCUGGGUGUGGUGAUGUACAUCUGCAAUCCUAGUACUUCCAAGGCUUCUGCAGGAGCUUGGGGAGUUUGAGGCCAGCUUGGGAUAGGUAAUGGGGGAGGACAGGGGACAGGAGAGGUGUGCAUCGCCCUUAGGCAGUGAUCUGAAAAGGCAACAGAUAAGAGCGGGGAGUAUUGUAAAAGAUGUUGAGAUGAUUGCACACGGUCGCGGACAGUUUUGGAUCUCUGGCUUGGUAUAAUAAAAGUUUAUUUAUUUUCCAGGUUGUAAUACAGCAUUUUUGCAGUUGUGCAGUAACUCAGGAUCCUUCAGUAUGGGUGUGGCAACCUGAGCCCACUAUGAAGGAGAUCCUAAUGAUUAUUACAGAGUGAUGCGUUUCUUCCUUCGUAUCAUUGGGCAGGACUCAGGCACGUGGUGUAUAACAAACAACUGCAAGGGAGGCUGGGAGUGUGGUCUCCCCGUGGACUCAGGAGAAAACUUGGGAGGUAUCAGUUUUUGGAGCCAAAAUCGCCCCUCAUUUCCUCUCCCUGUGCAGGUCUUUUCUGACCUCUUGAGGAGAAGGGGCACUUCCGUCAGUUUACUCUGAGUUUCCUGUGAGGGUGCUGACCACAUCUCAUCACACUGGUUGGUUGGUUGGUUGGUUGGUUUUUAAGGGAAUAUUCCUUUUAAUCAGUGCUAGCCUUGAAAGUUUGCUUUUCAGUUUGCUAAGUCUUUCCCAGGCCAUCCGUCUUUCCCCCUCAUUUUUGCUUUCCAAAGAUUCCAUUGGCAUCUGAUCACCACCGCUGGGAAACUCUCCUUAUCUCAUAUGGAUUACUCAGUUUCCCCCCCACCUUAUCCUAAUUACAUGUUCUGGGUGCAUGAUUUGCGGUUGAUCAUCAUCUUCUAACCCCUGAGGCUGUGUGGUGUUUUCCUGUCCCACAGGCUCUUGCCCUGAGGAAUAUCCUGUCAUUAUCGAGGGCAAUGUCACAGAUGAAUCACCAAGACAUUCACUAUGGAGCAAAGAAAUUUGGGUGUUACAGCUACUUCGCCAAGGGCCCUGAAACACAGCAUUUCCCAGCUGUUCAUAAAGUAGCCUGUUUGAUACACACACUGUGGUCCUAAAUGUUCUUAUGUUCUCUGAACGCUUGCUUUCAGUCAUGAACUGGCACGUACUCAAGGAAAGAAUGUCAGUGAACCUCUAUGGGCAAUUUUGGUACAUUUCCACCAUUACAUUCAAACAAAACGAAAUUGCCUGACUCUUUAUAAUAUGUCCUUUAGUGUGUUUAAACUUGCAGAAUUAUCCCUACAGAUGACAAAUUGUAAACAGCAUGCAAAAACCACAGCCCUGGUUCAAGGCCUAUCUCAGUGUUCCACCGACAUUCACCCUUCUUAGAAAUGUUUAAAGUGUUUUAGGAAAAUGGAGCUAGGCAAACAGGCUUAUCGGCAAUAAAAAAAAAAUCAUUGAUUCUAAUUAAGAGGCGUCACAUAUGCAGAAACAAAGCUGCUUUUGUGUGAUAGAAAGCCGACCUGCUCUCUCAGAUGCAUGGAGUGCUUUCCAGUGGCUUUAGAUAAUCAUGCUGACAAAGUUUCAGGGCCCUGACCUUUUGGCCCAUCUCAAGUGAUUCAGCUGUACUUGUCGAAACUUGUCUAAGGUGUUAGUGGGAGGUGUGCUGGAUACAAUUGUUGUAAAAGCACAGUAGUGGCAAAGCAAGCUCUUGUUUCUGAAAGCCUGGAACUGCAUCUUGAACAGAGGUGGGAAGCUCUGGCGUUCAUGGGGGCAAAGUCCGAGUGUAUUGAAGCUGUUUCCUCCUGGUAACUAGCAUUUCCUACAGCAAUACAUACCCUAGUGUACUCACCCACUGCUGGUGAGGACUCCAACGUCUCCGGCUGUCUGGGUCAGCCUGAUCCUGUCCCAUUGUGUGUUCCUGGAAGGUUGCAUUUAGAUUGUGACCCUGAUUUUAUGCUGUGUCCACAGAAUGGGGUCUUUAUGACGGAACCAGUCAAGGAAGGCACUGUACACUCUGAGCAAAUAAUGGAGAAAUCACUCUAAUUGCUUACUCGAUUGAGGUGUUAAAUCAAAAUCAACAACUGUGCCACCCGCAACUUUCCUUGAAUUCAGAACUU
rnacentral:lncRNA from 1 species